GCUGCUGCUGCAGCUGCUGCUGCUGCUGCUGCUGCUGCUGCAGCAGCAGCAGCAGCAGAAGAGAAUUGGUCUAUGAACCGAGA
rnacentral:snoRNA from 1 species